GUGCCUCGAAUGAUAGUGAACGUGGUCCAGAUACUGCCGAUGGAGACCCUGAGGGAAGUACAGAAACCCACACCAGGAUGUCUGCUCCAAAGGUACAGGAAAUUAAAUCAAGCUUUCAAAAUUGAGCAAAGAGAGAAAGUGGUGUCAUGGAUGAUGACUGCAGAUGAAAAAUGCUAGUCAUUCUUUAACUGUCUUUAAAUGUUGAUGUGUAAGUGCUACAGGAUCAUUUCUCUCCUAUCCAAUGCUCUGAUCUCUCCAGGUCAUUCUGCUCCUGUCUGAUAAAUCCAGCUGCGGGAUCUGCUGAUCUGAAGGAGCUGGUUGGAGUCAACCUGAAAAAAAAAGUGUGUUUGCUUUCACAGUUAUCGAUACAGUUAUAUAAUGAAUCUGUAAUUUGCUGAUAUGAUGCUGAAGGACAUAUCUUUUGUCUCAGAAAGCACUGGAGCAGCUCUUGUACACUGACCGCUUCUUUAAGAAUGACUUUGCUGUAGUUUUGCAGCCGUUCCUGAAACACGCAGAUCCUCCAAGACUCCCUGUGAGUAGUGACCACUGACUGUUUACUAAUUACUAUAAUUUAUAGCACUUUGCUGCUAGUUUUACAUUAAGGUUUAAAUACUAAAGUUUCCAUUAAAAUAGGAAUGUGCUGUUCAGAAUUUGUGCUUUAUAUUUUUCUCUGAUUAGAACGGGAAGAUUGACAUGAGCUUUUUUACUCCGGACUGUUUCCACUUCACCAUGAAAGGACAUGAGGAGUUAGCCAAGGGACUGUGGAACAACAUGUUUCAACUUGAGGGGGAAAAAUUCAUGGUGGAGAGCUUUUCAAACCCUAUUGAGCUCAUUUGCCCCCCUGUGGUAAGACAUGAUUAUAAGUGUAAUCUUAUUAUGCCAUUAUGUCACUGUAAUUACAUGAUGUGUUGGAUUUUCUUGCUAAUUCCAAUGUUACAUGCUUUAAAUGUCUUUCAUGCUCAAACGGACAAAUCCCAGAGUCAUCCGUACAUUUACACCAGACCCAGUGCUGUAAAAUCAGGCCCAUCACUUCCCGUAAUGCCCCAGUCAGCUGGCAUCAGACUAACUGUUCUCUACCUCAUCUUGGCUUUCCUUCCACUGUGGUUGGCUGUUAAUCUGGCCUCCUUGUAGGACAUCCAUAUGGAGUAUCGUGGUACAUCAUGUCUGCCCACCCGAUGUUCUACUUUGGCUGGAUAUCAUUGCUUUGAUGGUCUCUGAAGCACUGAGGAUCUAUUCUGUGACUUGAGCCACUGCAGGAUGCUCCAUGGUAAAACUGAUAAUGAGGGAGUAAAAGAUAAAUAAGUUAUCAAAGAUGAGCAGGAAAUUGGAGUUGGCAAAAUAUGAAGGCUUGGUUACAGUCAAUAUCAUAUUUAAUUGCUCUAUAGAGUUGCAGUGGAAAUGGGAAUAUUGAAACCUCAGAAUAGAAAAAUAUAUGCUAAUGUGAUGACCUUUUUUGAUAUACCCAACCAAAAUAGCACAAGAGCAGGUGCAAAGCCACUUUUAGCUCAGCGUAAUGUUGCUAUAAUAAAUUUAGGUAUGAAAGGUAACUGUGUAAGCUA
ensembl:lncRNA